AGUGAACGCUGGCGGUAGGCCUAACACAUGCAAGUCGAACGGCAGCACAGGGGAGCUUGCUCUCUGGGUGGCGAGUGGCGGACGGGUGAGGAAUACAUCGGAAUCUGCCCAGUCGUGGGGGAUAACGUAGGGAAACUUACGCUAAUACCGCAUACGACCUUCGGGUGAAAGAGGGGGAUCGCAAGACCUCUCGCGAUUGGAUGAGCCGAUGUCGGAUUAGCUAGUUGGCGGGGUAAUGGCCCACCAAGGCGACGAUCCGUAGCUGGUCUGAGAGGAUGAUCAGCCACACUGGAACUGAGACACGGUCCAGACUCCUACGGGAGGCAGCAGUGGGGAAUAUUGGACAAUGGGCGCAAGCCUGAUCCAGCCAUACCGCGUGGGUGAAGAAGGCCUUCGGGUUGUAAAGCCCUUUUGUUGGGAAAGAAAUCUUUCAGGCUAAUACCCUGGGAGGAUGACGGUACCCAAAGAAUAAGCACCGGCUAACUUCGUG
rnacentral:rRNA from 1 species